AAAAAUAACUGAAAUCUCUGUGCAGAAGUUAGACGUGGUAAUGGGAAUACAGACAAGGACUUCCUACCUUACUCUCUCUUGAGGCCGAGGGCUGCAGGGUCCCUGCUCCAGGCAGUCAGCCUCCCCAACACAAUGAGCCAUCUUGGAAAGGCUGCAUGUGGCCAGUAGAGACUGUAUUUCAGAGACAGAAUGAUAGGAACUCUACUCCCAGGGGUCAUUGAUCACCUUGUCACCUGUUGCCUCAAUGACCUUGUUUACCAGGAAUCAUUUUGAUGCACCCAGAGGAGCAACAGAUCCUCUCCCAGAGGCACAGUGAGUCUCUGGGUGUAACUGUUAGGUUUAUUAAUUAGGAGUGCUGCGUCAUCCCUGAGGCUGUGUUUUCCCUCGUUGGACUGCCUCAGAAAGUAAACUUGAGAACCUAGAAAGCCACCAAAAGUUUCCAAGCAGCUGAUGGAAAUGAGCACAGCCCUUGAUCCAAGCUGACCCUGAGCAGGACCCCAGAGGACACGCUGGCUGUCUCAGGGGAGGCCGCUGUGCCCCCUGCUCCUCCACCCUCCGUGCAGCACAGGCCUGACAGGGCAGCAGGGUAUACUGUAGCCCUGACACUACUGAGGAUUGUUACACACUUGGUUUGUUAUGGAAUCUGUUUGCUGUUUUAAAAUUGUUUGCCAUAAUAUAAAAUUGAAAUUUCCCUCCAAAUUCCACUGUUAAAUAUUUCCUACACAAUAUAUGAUGCAAUGUAAAUGAAAAUAACCCAUGUACAUAUUCAAAACAGCUUAAUUAAUACAAUAGCCAUUACUAUGAACACCUAAUAUGUGUAUAAUAUAUUCCUUAUUUCCUCUAGGGGUUAACAUUUCUAAAUGUUUUAUAUAUUAUCCUUUAUUUUUUAAAUUUAAUGUUGG
rnacentral:lncRNA from 1 species